UACGUAGGGGGCAAGCGUUGUCCGGAUUUAUUGGGCGUAAAGAGCGUGUAGGCGGCUUGGUAGGUCCGCUGUGAAAACUCAAGGCUCAACCUCGAGAUGUCGGCGGAAACCACUUGGCUAGAGUCCGGAAGAGGAGAGUGGAAUUCCUGGUGUAGCGGUGAAAUGCGCAGAUAUCAGGAAGAACACCUAUGGCGAAGGCAGCUCUCUGGGACGGUACUGACGCUGAGACGCGAAAAGCGUGGGGAGCGAACAGG
rnacentral:rRNA from 1 species